GCGCAGGGCAGGCCUGCACCGAGUCGAGGCGCUUCGGAGGGCAGGUGGCCUGACCCGAUGUCCCGGGCCAGAAGGGGCGAGAGGUCCCCCCCUGUGUUUAACUCUCGCUGGGAGGUAGGCAGUAGAGCUGUUCCCAGACCAGGCUGGAAGCCAGGAGGUAGCUAGAGAUCAUUUCAGGUGUGUGGAGGGCUGACAGAGUCCCGGUGAACCACUUUCCUGUGAGGACGUGGCGGGCGCUCGGCGCUCUGCGAGGCUGGUUUCUCCCGAAGCAGCUACCCGCAAAUUGAGCGCCUUAAGCCGAUGCAGCAGAGCUUGUUCGAUGGAACUGCCUGGAUAGAAAUAAUCUUUCUUGCCAGAAAAGAAAUAGUGUUCCUGAAAUCUGAGAGACAUGCUCUUUGUAACAAUCCUUAGAGGACUGCUGCCAGCUCUCUACAAAUGCAGGAACCUGAAAUAAAACAGUGGUGCUGCCCUGGGAAGAGUUGACACCUUUGUCAGACUCUCGUAGUAUGGUGGUACCUUCCCUGUCCAAAUUUCCCCCACAUAAGUUUUCCGAGUAAGCCUUGUUAGAAGAACAAAGAAUAACUAUUUUGGUUUGGCACUGAAAGAAGAACUUGGAAUCAUAAAUCAGUCUCGUCUUAUAUAUGCAUUUAUCUGGUCAUUGUGGAUUUUUUAAAGGCAAAUGUUCAUUGCAACUCUGUCUAGAGCUAUGCCUAUAACUUCUUCCUGUUCUUUAAAGUGUAGUGGUUCCUAUCUGCAGAUUUAUUUCUGUCAGUUCUUCCUGAAAGUCCAUCAGAUGGAAUUUUCUUUAAAUGAAAACCAGACUUCUAAAAUUAAAAUUC